rnacentral:SRP_RNA from 1 species
GCUCGUGUCCCAUGCAACGGACACCCGCGAACCAGGUCAGACGGGGAACCGAGCAGCCUUAAGUGGUGCUGGCCGUGUGUCGUGGAGCAGCAUGGGCGGG